rnacentral:rRNA from 1 species
UACGUAGGGUGCGAGCGUUGUCCGGAAUUAUUGGGCGUAAAGGGCUCGUAGGCGGUUUGUCGCGUCGGGAGUGAAAAUCCAGGGCUUAACUCUGGACUGACUUCCGAUACGGGCAGACUAGAGGUAUGCAGGGGAGAACGGAAUUCCUGGUGUAGCGGUGAAAUGCGCAGAUAUCAGGAGGAACACCGGUGGCGAAGGCGGUUCUCUGGGCAUGUCCUGACGCUGAGGAGCGAAAGUGUGGGGAGCGAACAGG